CAGGUUAGGAGCUACCGACGAGCUCAAACUUACAAAUACUCUUCCAAACCUAACUGUUCUUAGUGAACCAAACUAUUUUACAUCAGGCAAAACAACUUCUCUAUCCAUCCCCGCCAUAGCUCAGAGCUCGACACCUUGGGCUACCUGAGCGCCCCCACCAAAAACAAUGCUCUGUUUAAGCCUUCCUGAAACCCUAAUAACAAAAAAUCCGUCCCCACCUCUGACAGAUGCACCCCAUCUUGCCUGUUAAAUCCUGCCAACUUUUAUUCACCUUCCCCUUACUUUUCACCACUGCUCAGUGGUCCCUAGAGUGACGCCAUUGCAACCGCGGUACCAUCUCCGACCAUAUGACAACCACGUCAGCGACCAACUGCCUCAACCUAUCCAAAUCCUUCUUCAUCCCCGUGAGCAAAGCCCUCUGUGACACCAGACCUAAGUCAUUUCCCCCGGCAUGAAACAGACCAAUGCACUUUACCCUCACUAAUCCUCUCAAAUAGCUUUAAGCAAAUCCAUUG